UCCAGACUCCUACGGGAGGCAGCAGUGAGGAAUAUUGGUCAAUGGCCGAAGGGCUGAACCAGCCAAGCCGCGUGAAGGAAUAAGGCCCUACGGGUCGUAAACUUCUUUAGUCAGGGAACAAAGGGUGCCACGCGUGGCGCUGUGAGUGUACCUGAAGAAUAAGCAUCGGCUAACUCCGUGCCAGCAGCCGCGGUAAUACGGAGGAUGCGAGCGUUAUCCGGAUUUAUUGGGUUUAAAGGGUGCGCAGGCGGUCUGUUAAGUCAGCGGUCAAAGCCCGGGGCUCAACCCCAUCCAGCCGUUGAAACUGGGGAUCUAGAGUGUGCGAGAGGUAUGCGGAAUGCGUGGUGUAGCGGUGAAAUGCAUAGAUAUCGCGCAGAACUCCGAUUGCGAAGGCAGCAUGCCGGCUCCACACUGACGCUGAGGCACGAAAGCGUGGGUAUCGAACAGGAUUAGAUACCCCCGUAAA
rnacentral:rRNA from 1 species